UACAGGGGGGGCAAGCGUUGUUCGGAAUUACUGGGCGUAAAGGGUUCGUAGGUGGCCAACUAAGUCAGACGUGAAAUCCCUCAGCUUAACUGGGGAACUGCGUCUGAUACUGGAUGGCUUGAGUGUAGGAGAGGAAUGCGGAAUUCCAGGUGUAGCGGUGAAAUGCGUAGAUAUCUGGAGGAACACCGGUGUCGAAGGCGGCAUUCUGGACUACAACUGACACUGAGGAACGAAAGCCAGGGGAGCAAACGGG
rnacentral:rRNA from 1 species